rnacentral:rRNA from 1 species
UACGUAGGGACCAAGCGUUGUUCGGAUUUACUGGGCGUAAAGGGCGCGUAGGCGGCGUGUUAAGUCACUUGUGAAAUCUCUAAGCUUAACUUAGAACGGUCAAGUGAUACUGAUGUGCUAGAGUGCAGAAGGGGCAACCGGGAAUUCUUGGUGUAGCGGUGAAAUGCGUAGAUAUCAAGAGGAACACCUGAGGUGAAGACGGGUGCUGGGCUGACACGUGACGU